rnacentral:tRNA from 1 species
GGAUCUAGCUGAGUGGUAAAGUGCUUGCCUAGUGAGUACCAGGCCCUGGGUUUGAUUCCCAGCAAUGCA